GGUCUUGUGGUCUAGUGGUAUGAUUCCUGCUUCGGGCUCAUCACUCGAAGUCCUGAUUCUUCAAGAAUCACGUUUGCAGGAGGCCCCGGGUUCAAAUCCCGGCAAGACCC